rnacentral:lncRNA from 1 species
CUCACCCACUCUGAGCAGGGGUGUCCAUGCAGAGAGACCAGAAGAUGCUGUCUCACCCCUUCCUGGUACAUUGGAGGUCAGCACUCAGCAAGGUGACCCCAUCUUCACAGUGACCUAGGAAGGACAAAGGGGUGUGUUAUUGUGGAAUUCUUUCACUUUCCAAGAUCCUAUGAAUGUCCAGUCUCCUUGCCUUUCUCCUACUUGCUCUGUGAGGACCUCUGGCUAAGCCAUACAGGUGUCCCUACAAUGCCAGCCCUCUGACUGGCAGCUUCUAAGCCUUUGGAUUCUCAUGACUCACUGUGCUCAUACAACUGACAGGACAAGCAAGGAGAUCUUGGAAAUGCCACCUUCCCUCUAUGCCAGUUGCUGUCAACCUUGCUCCCUUGCCCCCCAAUAGGACAACUCCGAGGUGCAUGGCCUGGAUUAUCUUCUGGAAUUCCCCAGCAGAAUUAGACAGCAGUCAUUCACAGAUUUCCUGCCUGCAAUGUUCUGGGACUGGAGCCUAGCAAAAUUGUCAUCGAAGAGACCAGAGAGACUUCACCUAGCAACUGAUGGGAGCAGAGUCCCACAGCCACACAUUAGGCAUCCCUUUGGAGGGAUGGGGAGGAAGGAUCGAAGAAACCAGAGGGGUCAGGGACACACCGUUAGAACACAGCCCAGGGUCAACACCUCUGUCUCCUGUGGGAGAUACGUGUCGGCCAGGAGCUCCGUCAUUAAACUACCUCAUGCUUUUACA